ensembl:lncRNA
AUGGGGCUGAUGCAAAUCCGGCAUGGUCUCCACGUGUGCUCUGAGCUCUCUUUUUGGGAUGUGCGUCCACUGAGCAGCCUGGUCAGCUGCCUUCUCUCACAGGGCUCCUUGGUCUCACCUUGUAGUGGAGUGUGCUGUUGCAGGGUAACAUCUGGACUGAGCUCCUGGACCCUUGGAUGCUCGGCUGCAAGUUCCUGGAUCGACUUGGAGAAAACACCCUCCUCUGGCACACCCUCCUCCAGGAGCCAUGGAGAUGGCAACUGUGACUCCAGACACGGCCUUCCUGACCCCAACUGUCUUACAGUCGGGGACCUGCUGAAUGUGCCUCCUGAGAGCUGCUCUUUUCUACCAUCAGAGCCCAACUUAUGGGCUCACAAGCUUCCUGAAGUGGCUAAACAGAUAACCUCCACAGUUUCCAUCUUAAAUGCACGGAAAAUAUGGAAUCCUGACAAUUUCAGGACAGAACGAGUCCCAAGUGUCAAUUUCAGAGUUCAAAAGCCAGAGAAGAAAGCUGCAUCUUCUCCCCCGGAUGUGCAGUUAACUUUGACUCUGGCAGAGAUGGUAUUUUGACUGGGAGCACCCGGAGACCUCGCCCUGAACACAGCAAGGCUUAACUCGCAGUUCCUGGGCCAGCUUUUAUCUGGGGGUUCUAAUCCAGAACUGAUGCCAGCUUCUUUUUCUCAAAGGCAAAAGUGUGGUUUUUUGAUGAUAAAAUACAAAAUGAUCAUUACUGGAAGUGUUAUAAUAAUAGAAGAAUAAGCUUAAUAUUCUAACCGAACCCAGCCGCAUUUAGAAUAAGCUUAAUAUUCUAACCGAACCCAGCCGCGUUUAGAAUAAGCUUAAGAUUCUAACCGAACCCAGCCGCAUUUAGAAUAAGCUUAAGAUUCUAACCGAACCCAGCCGCAUUUAGAAUAAGCUUAAGAUUCUAACCGAACCCAGCCGCAUUUAGAAUAAGCUUAAUACUCUAACCGAACCCAGCCGCAUUUAGAAUAAGCUUAAUAUUCUAACCGAACCCAGCAUUUAGAAUAAGCUUAAUAUUCUAACCAACCCAGCCGUUUAGAAUAAGCUUAAUAUUCUAACCGAACCCAGCCGCUUAGAAUAAGCUUAAUACUCUAACCGAACCCAGCCGCAUUUAGAAUAAGCUUAAUACUCUAACCGAACCCAGCCGCGUUUAGAAUAAGCUUAAUACUCUAACCGAACCCAGCAUUUAGAAUAAGCUUAAUAUUCUAACCGAACCCAGCGUUUAGAAUAAGCUUAAUACUCUAACCGAACCCAGCCGCGUUUAGAAUAAGCUUAAUACUCUAACCGAACCCAGCCGCAUUUAGAAUAAGCUUAAUACUCUAACCGAACCCAGCCGCGUUUAGAAUAAGCUUAAUACUCUAACCGAACCCAGCCGCGUUUAGAAUAAGCUUAAUACUCUAACCAACCCAGCCGUUUAGAAUAAGCUUAAUACUCUAACCAACCCAGCCGCUUAGAAUAAGCUUAAUACUCUAACCGAACCCAGCCGCUUAGAAUAAGCUUAAGAUUCUAACCAACCCAGCCGCGUUUAGAAUAAGCUUAAUAUUCUAACCGAACCCAGCCGCGUUUAGAAUAAGCUUAAGAUUCUAACCGAACCCAGCCGCGUUUAGAAUAAGCUUAAGAUUCUAACCGAACCCAGCCGCGUUUAGAAUAAGCUUAAGAUUCUAACCGAACCCAGCCGCGUUUAGAAUAAGCUUAAGAUUCUAACCAACCCAGCGUUUAGAAUAAGCUUAAGAUUCUAACCAACCCAGCCGUUUAGAAUAAGCUUAAUGUUCUAACCAACCCAGC